rnacentral:rRNA from 1 species
UGGGGAAUAUUGCACAAUGGAGGGAACUCUGAUGCAGCGACGCCGCGUGAACGAAGAAGGCUUUCGAGUCGUAAAGUUCUUUUAUAUGGGAAGAUAAUGACGGUACCAUAAGAAAAAGCCCCGGCUAACUACGUGCCAGCAGCCGCGGUAAUACGUAGGGGGCUAGCGUUGUCCGGAAUCACUGGGCGUAAAGGGUUCGCAGGCGGAAAUGCAAGUCAGGUGUAAAAGGCAGUAGCUUAACUACUGUAAGCAUUUGAAACUGCAUAUCUUGAGAAGAGUAGAGGUAAGUGGAAUUUUUAGUGUAGCGGUGAAAUGCGUAGAUAUGAAAAAGAAUACCGGUGGCGAAGGCGACUUACUGGGCUCAUUCUGACGCUGAGGAACGAAAGCGUGGGUAGCAAACAGG